UACAGAGGUCUCAAGCGUUAAUCGGAAUUACUGGGCUUAAAGGGUCCGCAGGCGGUCUGACAAGUACCUUGUGAAAUAUCAGGUCUCAACCCUGAAACUGCUCGGUAGACUGUCAGACUUGAGUGCAAAAGGGGUCGCCGGAACUCUAGGUGGAGCGGUGAAAUGCGUAGAUAUCUAGAGGAACGCCAAAGGUGAAGACAGGCGACUGGUUUGCAACUGACGCUCAUGGACGAAAGCGUGGGGAUCAAACGGG
rnacentral:rRNA from 1 species